rnacentral:rRNA from 1 species
GUCCACGCCCUAAACUAUGUCAACUGGUUGUUGGGAGAGUUAAAUCUCUUAGUAACGAAGCUAACGCGUGAAGUUGACCGCCUGGGGAGUACGGCCGCAAGGUUAAAACUCAAAGGAAUUGACGGGGACCCGCACAAGCGGUGGAUUAUGUGGAUUAAUUCGAUGCAACGCGAAAACCUUACCUACCCUUGACAUGCCAGGAACCUCGCAGAGAUGUGAGGGUGCCCGAAAGGGAAUCUGGACACAGGUGCUGCAUGGCUGUCGU